rnacentral:rRNA from 1 species
AAUGUUUAAUCUGAUUUUAUUUUUAUCAAAAUUUAUUUAACUUUUAUUUUUAUUUGUUAAGUUAUUUUGAUUUAGUAAUUAAAGGGUUGAUUAUGGAUUACUAAACCAGUUAAUAAUUUUAGGAAGUUCUAAACUUAAGAGAAUUUAUUUUAUUUUCUCUUUCCUAAUGGUAAACCACUAAAUAAUAUAUGUACUUAAUUGAGUAAAUAUAUUAUAAUAUAAACGAGAGGAACUGAAUCAUCUUAGUACUCUUAGGAAUAAAAAAUUUAUAUGAUUUUAGUAGUAGUGGCGAACGAAUCUUUAAUAGUCUAUCCUUACUUGGAGGGUCUACAUUAUUUAAUGUUUAGAUUGGUAAAACUUUCUCAAAACCAAAAAGUAAGUAAUUAAGUAGAGCGGAUUCUUAAUCUGUUUGAAUUUUUUAGGGAGGACCAAUCUCCUAAGACUUAAUAUAUUAACUGAGUGAUAGUGAAUAGUACCGUGAGGGAAAGUAUUGAAAUAGUCAACUUAUAAGCAAAGAUCGGAAAUAUAUUUAUUUCUUAUCUUGUACCUUUUGCAUAAUGGGUCAGCAAGUUAUAAUUAUUUGCAAGCUUAAUGCUAUAUAAGUAAAUAGUUAUAGACCCGAAACUAGACGAUCUUACCAUGAACAGAUUUUUUGGAUCGAACCAGUCAUCGUUGUAAAGAUGUUGGAUGAUUUGUGGUAAGGAGUGAAAGGCUAAUCUUGUUUAGUAAUAGCUGGUAGUCCACGAAAUAGCUUUUAGGCUAGCUUUCUUUUUAUUUUAGAUAGUGUACAGUAAUUAAUUACCUUAGAUUUAUUUUAAAUCUUUAAUGGGGGGCAUUAUGUUUACUCAAGGUUAAAGUUAAACUCGAAAAUUAUCAUCCCCCGAGAGGGGGAGGACCCCCGCGGUAGCGGGGCUCUAAAUAUUUAAGUGAAGUCAGACUUUUGGUGAUAAGGUCCAAAGUCAAAAGAGAAACAGCUCUUAACAAAUGUUAAAGUUCCUAAAUCCAACUUAAGUGAAGAUAAGAUUGUUUGUUUCCUAAUACAAUAAGAACAUGGGCUUGGAAACAGCCAUUGUCUAAGGAGUACGUAAUAGUUCACUUAUCUUUAAUGUAUAUAAUACUAUAGGGAAACAAGUGUCGAAAAUUUAACGGAUCUAUGAUAAAUUCUGUAAAGUUGGUACUUAAACUUUGUAAUUAAAUUUAACUAAUAUAAUUUAAUUGGUAGUGGACCAUUCUAUAAAAAGUUGAAGAUAGGUUUUUAAAUCUAUUGGAUUUAUUAGAAGAGAGAAUGCUGACAUAAGUAACGUUAAAAAAGGUAAAAAUCCUUUUCACUUAAAACUCAAGGGUUUUGAUUCAAGGCUUAACCGAAUCAAUUAAAGUCAAUCUCUAAGUUUUUCUAUGAUGAGUAAAACUUUACCAAAUUAUCAUAAUUUUUAUCAUGAUUUAGAUUUAAAUUAUCAAGAAAUAAAUUUGGUUUCUGAAUUGUACCCUAAACCGACACUGGUGAGUAUAGCGAAUAGCUUAAAGUGUUGAGAUAACUAUGAUUAAGGAACUCGGCAAAUUAGCUCUGUUACUUCGGUAUAAAGAGUGUUCAUAUUAAAUGAACUCAAUAAAGAGAAUCCUACAACUGUUUACUUAAAACACAGCACAUUGCUAAGUUAAUUUAAUAACAUCGUAUAAUGUGUGAGUUCUGCUCAAUGUCCUAUGGUUAACUUUUAAGACUUUAACGAGUUCAAGGGAACCCAGGAUAAAUAGCGGCUUUAACUCUGAGGGUCCUAAGGUAGCGAAAUUCCUUGUCCGCUAAAUACGGUCCUGCAUGAAUGAAUUAAUGAUAGGAUUGCUGUCUCAAUCAUAGACUCAGUGAAAUUGUAGUUGCUGUGAAGAUACAGUGUAUUCCCAGCUAGACGGAAAGACCCUGGCAGCUUUACGAUAUUCAAUAAUUGACCAUUAUAUUUAUUAAUAUAAUAUUAUUCUACCUUUGUUCAGCAUAGAGGUUAGUUUAUUAAACUAAAAUGAGAUAUCCUCCUAAGGAGAAUAAGGUCUAAAUCUUAUUCAAAAAGAUGACAUUUAUUGAGUGGUCGUUUCUGUGGGGCGCAGGCCUCAUAAAAAAUAACUGAGGCAUCCGAAAGAUCUACACAAAUUGUAUGGAAAACAAUAUUCUGUUAAAAAAUAAAAAAGAAUAAAACGCAUAUAAGCAAAGUAGGUUAAACUGAAAGACCAACAAGUCGGACAGAUACGUAAGUAGGGUUAAGUGAUCCACAUUUAUAGAAUGGAAAUAAAUGUGCUCAAUGAGCGAAGUUACGCCAGGGAUAACAGAUUAAUAGAGAGCUAAAGUUCGCAUCAAAUUCUCUGUUUGAUACCUCGAUGUCGACUCAGCCCAUCCUCCAGUUGAAGCAGAUUGGAAGGGUUUAACUGUUCGUUAAUUUAAAGGGCUACGUGAGUUGGGUUAAAUCCGUCGUGAGACAGGAUGGUUCCUAUCUACUGGGAAAAAAUUAAACAAAGGUAAAUCUCUUUUUUGUACGAAAGGAUUUAAAGGGCCUAAUCAAUAGUUUAACUGUUGUCUUUCAAAAUCAAUAAAUCAAAUAAAUAAAAAGGCAUUGCAGUGAAGCCACAUUAGGGAAUUUAAGUACUGAAAGCAUAUUAAGUACGAAAUCUCUUACCAGAGUUUAAUCUAAGAAAGUCUAACACUUUCCAAAUUAGUGAAUCAUUGUAUAGAUAGAUUCAAUCCAAAAGGAUCAGUGAAAACUGCUAAUUAAAAAAAUAAGAUUUACUAAGAAUAUUCAGAUUAAGCAAUAAAUAUU